UACGUAGGGGGCGAGCGUUGUCCGGAUUUAUUGGGCGUAAAGAGCGUGUAGGCGGCCAGGUAGGUCUGCUGUGAAAACUCGAGGCUCAACCUCGAGACGUCGGCGGAAACCAUCUGGCUAGAGUCCGGAAGAGGAGAGUGGGAAUUCCUGGUGUAGCGGUGAAAUGCGCAGAUAUCAGGAAGAACACCCGUGGCGAAGGCGGCUCUCUGGGACGGUACUGACGCUGAGACGCGAAAGCGUGGGGGAGCGAACAGG
rnacentral:rRNA from 1 species